rnacentral:rRNA from 1 species
AUACGAAGGGGGCUAGCGUUGUUCGGAAUUACUGGGCGUAAAGCGCGUGUAGGCGGAUCGUUAAGUCAGGGGUGAAAGCCCGGGGCUCAACCCCGGAACUGCCCUCGAUACUGGCGGUCUAGAGUCCGGAAGAGGUGGGCGGAAUUCCCGGUGUAGAGGUGAAAUUCGUAGAUAUCGGGAGGAACACCAGUGGCGAAGGCGGCUCACUGGUCCGGUACUGACGCUGAGACGCGAAAGCGUGGGGAGCAAACAGGAUUAGAUACCCCAGUAGUCC